AUGAACGCUGGCGGCGUGCUUAACACAUGCAAGUCGAACGAUGAAGCCCAGCUUGCUGGGUGGAUUAGUGGCGAACGGGUGAGUAACACGUGAGUAACCUGCCCUUAACUCUGGGAUAAGCCUGGGAAACUGGGCCUAAUACCGGAUAGGAGCGUCCACCGCAUGGUGGGUGUUGGAAAGAUUUAUCGGUUUUGGAUGGACUCGCGGCCUAUCAGCUUGUUGGUGAGGUAAUGGCUAACCAAGGCGACGACGGGUAGCCGGCCUGAGAGGGUGACCGGCCACACUGGGACUGAGACACGGCCCAGACUCCUACGGGAGGCAGCAGUGGGGAAUAUUGCACAAUGGGCGCACGCCUGAUGCAGCGACGCCGCGUGAGGGAUGCCGGCCUUCGGGUUGUAAACCUCUUUCAGUAGGGAAGAAGCGAAAGUGACGGUACCUGCAGAAGAAGCACCGGCUAACUACGUG
rnacentral:rRNA from 1 species